rnacentral:misc_RNA from 1 species
UUAUUUAAGUUGGCAGCCUUGGUUUACAUUCUUGUCGCAAUGGUCUGAAAAAUUUGAAAAAAUGCCGUAAAGCAGAUUUCAGUUUGGAUUUAUUUGGCACCCAAAGUCAUGAAGUUGGAGUAGUUGGUAAUCAUAUAUACAUGUCUUGAUAUGGAAAUUGAAUAAAAUUUCGUUGUUAUUAUAAUUAAUAACACUAGUAUACUUAGUAAGUAGAAUGC